UCUGCUCAAUGAUUUUUUAAAUUGCUGUGGUAUUUUGACUAUACGAAGGUAUUGAAAUAAGAUUUUAAAUGAGUGCUAAGAGAAUGGUUGAACAAUUAAAGACUUUCUUUUUUUAAAAAAUUAAAUUUAAUUUUUUAAAGCGCAAAAGCAAAAAUGAAAAUUUGGGACAAGAAGACCCUAUGAAUUUUUAUUUAUUUUUUAAUUUUUAAAAAUUAAAAAAUAAAUUUGAUUGGGGCGAUGGAUAAAGAGUAGAUAUCUUUAUUUAAAUUUAAAAAAU
rnacentral:rRNA from 1 species